rnacentral:rRNA from 1 species
UUUAAAAAAUAGAUAUAAAUAUUAGAUCUAAGACCUUACGGGGAUAAGAACUUAAAUUAAAUUAAGUUUAAUGCCUAUGCUAAGAUGAGUAUUAAAAAAUUAUUAUUAGAGGAUAUUUAAUCUACUCAAAAAAUUUUUUUAUAAAAUUAAUUAAUUAGAAGGAACUCGGCAAUUUAAUGCUCCGCCUGUUUAUCAAAAACAUGGCUCUUUGUAAACAAAAAAUAAAGAGUCGGGCCUGCCCAGUGAAUUUUCAACGGCCGCGGUACUCUGACCGUGCAAAGGUAGCAUAAUCAUUUGCCUUAUAAUUGAAGGCUAGUAUGAAUGGUUUGACGAGAGCAAUACUGUCUCCUUAUUAUUUUCAAGAACUUAACUUUUAGGUGAAGAGGCCUAAAUUUUAUUGAAGGACAAGAAGACCCUGUCGAGCUUAAAAGAUUAUAUAGGAGUCUAUAUAUCUUUAGAUAAAUUUCUAUUGAGCUUUUUAGUUGGGGCGACUGAGGAACAAAAAAAGCUUCUUUUUAAAAAAUAAACAAUCAUGUUUAGAUCCGGUAGUAGCGAUUAAGGAAAUUAGUUACCGCAGGGAUAACAGCAUAAUCUCUCUUGAGAGACCUAAUCGAAAGAGGGGGUUGUGACCUCGAUGUUGGACUAGAA